GACGAACGCUGGCGGCGUGCUUAACACAUGCAAGUCGAACGGAAAGGCCCUGCUUUUGUGGGGUGCUCGAGUGGCGAACGGGUGAGUAACACGUGAGUAACCUGCCCUUGACUUUGGGAUAACUUCAGGAAACUGGGGCUAAUACCGGAUAGGAGCUCCUGCUGCAUGGUGGGGGUUGGAAAGUUUCGGCGGUUGGGGAUGGACUCGCGGCUUAUCAGCUUGUUGGUGGGGUAGUGACUUACCAAGGCUUUGACGGGUAGCCGGCCUGAGAGGGUGACCGGCCACAUUGGGACUGAGAUACGGCCCAGACUCCUACGGGAGGCAGCAGUGGGGAAUAUUGCACAAUGGGCGGAAGCCUGAUGUAGCAACGCCGCGUGCGGGAUGACGGCCUUCGGGUUGUAAACCGCUUUCGCCUGUGACGAAGCGUGAGUGACGGUAAUGGGUAAAGAAGCACCGGCUAACUACGUG
rnacentral:rRNA from 1 species